GUAAUACAGUGAGAAUCAAAAGUAGUCUAUAAAUGUUAAUGGAAUUAACGCUUUGUUUGAAAACAUAAUUCCCAGCCCCUCUCCUGCUUUGUGACCAAUGAGCUGACAGCACACUUAUGACAAUUCGAGUAUGACCAUUCAGAUUACCGCUUAUCUCAUUGGUCGAGGAAAGGUCGCUUACGGAGAAAAUACCGGAAGACAACAGAUGACCACAACAAGAAGCAUGGCCAACAGGGAAACAAACGCACACACUGCGGUGCAAGUCUCGGACGACAGUACAUCUAAAGCUGGGCAUACACUGUGCGAUUUUUUCAGUCGCGUUAUUCAGCUUCUACUCAAACUGCACGAUUGACUCGCAGGGGUUAUAAGUUCGUAGGUCACGAUGCAGGGUCUCACACUAUACCGCCCGAUGCUCUGAUGCGACCUGAGUGCUCACACUGUGCAUCCAUAAAAUGAAGGUUAUAACAGAAAAUCUGUCGCUCGCUCUCCCUCUCUGUCUUUCACUCACACAGACACGCACACCACCACCAUCAACUUUGCUAAAUUGCUAAUGAAAAACAUUGAUCAGGCAGCUGUGAUUAAGCAGCAAUGUAAAUCCAACUAUUUUCACGGUUGUUGUGGUCCUGAUAAUUUUGUGAGGCCACAUCGAAAAGGCUCGGAUGAGCUUUCCAAAGUUCUACAAGUUGUGCCUCCAUCACUUGUGUCCAGAUCACACGCUGCACAGCCGUGCUGCUCCGUCUUUUUCACCGACGUUUACGUGUUUGCGCGUGGGCAGUGUGAGCGGCUGCGGUGACACCCUCACGAGCGAUUGAUGAUCGGGAGCUGGUCGUGAGGUGUUAAUCACUUGUCGUUACCCCACGUAUACUACACGAUGCAUGACGCACGAUGAAGGCCAAAAUUGGGCCGAUCACCAAAUCGGUCGCACGACUCAAAAAUCGGCUCAAAAUGGGCCAAAAAUCGCACAGUGUAAGCCCAGCAUUAGACCAGCAAUGUUUGUUCCCCUCAGAGAAAGGAAAAAAGGCUGCAAAAGUACAGGGAGGAAUGGGAAAAAGAAAACACCUGGCUGGAAAAAGUGCACGAUAACACCUAUAAAGCGCACUGCACUGUGUGCCGGCGCACUUUUUCCAUAGGCAUGCUUCUAAUGGUGGGCACAUGAAGAACAUGAGGGGCGUGAAAGCUCGAGGAACCCUUAACCAAUUUGUUGUCCACCAGGCCACGGCAGAAGCAGAUAUGCUGCUGGAUUAGCUGCUGGAUUAGCUCUUCGAUUAACAACUUGCUGGAGGCUAUUCAAAUUAGCCACACCGUGGGAUGUAAGGAGCUCUCUGAUUGGUUGGUCAGACACAGGCUGUCUGCCAGCCUGGAUUUUUCUAGCUCAUAGCUUCGCCCUGCUACGAAGCGUGUGUGCUUGUACAAAGGCCGUUCAGCCUCAGGAUUUACACUCGGCUCGACACGGAUAUGUGAAGAAUGAAGGGACCCUGCAGCGAAACGGAGAGCCAACCUCUGACUGAGUGCCUGUCUACACAGUCUGACCACCUGUUGAAGGGCUGUUUGAUGACGAUUUGGGAGAUGAGGACACACCCACAUCUGUUCCAUACUGCAGCCAUGGAUGGUGUUACGGCUCUGAGUCAGCUUUGGGCCAUCAGACGCACACACUGGAAAACCAGCACCUGGACUUCAUGCAGGAGAGACGGCCUCAGUGAUGCAGAAUUCAUCAGCAGCUGUGGAGAGAUGCAUUUGAAUAUCUUCUGGUUCCACUUUUCCUUACCUGGAAGCUGAGGAUGGCUGAUUUCUGACAAGGACACACAACUCAGCGCUUAUCAUGGGUGUUACAUCCUCUGUGCAGCAAUUCCAGAGAAAACGAGAAAGCAACGACCACUCAUAAAGACCAGCCAGAAAUCUGUCCCUUUCUGGCAGCUGUGGAAACUUUGCAUUCUUAGAACAAUGCUGGAUCAUGUGUGAUGUGUCAUAUGAGGAUAUUACAUUUUGCCUUAAUUCUGCUCAAUUAAGUGUUUUGAUCGUUGAUCCAAUAUGGCAGCUUUGUGUUGUGCUGCAAGUUAAAACUCAUUGUCUAACAACUCUCCUUAAAAAUGUCGAUUGACUUUAACUGGACACAAUGGUUUCCAGUGGGAGAUACAUUCAUCACUCAUCCGUGACACUGGAGAAGUCACCUGGAUGAGUGAUAAAAAAAUUUUCCAUGGAAAAUCCAGAGGAACUAAACUUUGUUGUUGUUUCUUUGGGCUCAGUUUUGCCUGAGGCUGAAAGUGUGUGUGUGUGUUUUCUCCAAUUCACCAGGUCUGUAAAGUUCAGUAUGACUGUGGUACAUGAU